UCUGUGUUCUCCAGCUAUGGCGGUUGGAGUUAGUUCUGGAAGUUUUCGUGUUCUUUGGGGAGGUCGUUUUGUGAACUACAGGUCAUUUGACCAUCUGAGUUUAGUAUGACACUGCAAGGAUUAUGGUUCUGAUCUGAUGGAUUAGGAUUCUGGUCUCGAACGGAUGCAAGCAACAGAUGCGCCGUGCCCAUCGCAUCGAGUAACUUGUCCGAGCGUCUUGCUGCAGCGUGCUGUUUGGUAAGUGUUGUCGGUGUGUGCGUUGUGUUGUCGUCGCGCGUCACAUGUGGUCGUUAGGCAAAGUCAAGGGGUAUACGUAACAAACGAAGUUGGUGCAAUUUGUGGUAGCAAGUAAGGCAGCUGGCAAGAGUCACAACUCAAGAGGCGAGAGGUAGCGGGCAAUGAAACCACGAGGCCACAACCCUCUGAUUUCCCCGGUCAGAUGUGCUGAGUCAAUGGCUGUGCGCGUCUUCUGAACAAGGCCCUGGCAAGUUUGCGUGUUGGCGAUGUCAGAAUGGUGUAAUUGGUAAUACACUUGACCAGAAAUCAGAGAGGUAUGGGUUCGGGUCUCGCUACCGACACUUCGCUGACCCUUUACCGAUUGCAGCUUUGUAGGGACAUUGGUCUUUUAACUACACUAUGAUUGUGUGCUUCUUAAUUUCUACGUUAUUUUAGUAUAAUCAUCUGAUUUUUAACUAGUCACAAUAUUACCAUGGUUUUGGCGUAUUAUAGCUUAAGUUGCUUUUGCGCCAAUAAAUUCAAUCAUCAUCAUCAUUUAUCGAUUGUCUUACUUUCUCUCUUGAGCUGCUUGCAUGUUGACGAGGGCUGUGUUUCUCUAGCCUCAGCUAUCUGCGUAACUGUCAUGUAAUUUGUAUUUCGCCCUUAAUUUGAUUAAGACAUUUCACAGUUCAUUUUUUCUUUCACUACAGAGGCAGGACUUCUCUUGGCCUAACCGUAAUACCUUCAUCUUGGUCGACAUGCCAGGAACAAUUAGGCGGGUGACUGGGCUUGAGAGAGCAUGGCGAAAUGGCAUUGCAGGACUGCCUCGGCCACUUGCAUCCAUCAUCUAACUAUAGGCUACGCCUCAAUGUUCCCUACAGCAGCCAUCUCCUGGUGAAACUCGGAAAGGUUUCCUCGCCAAAUUGUAGCAAAUGCGAUGUGGUAGAGGACGCUACGCACGUCAUUCAAGACUGUACACGACACAAAGGCCACCGCCGUAUAUUAGAAUCGUCGCUGCCCACCUGGAUAGCCGC